UACUUAGGUUAUUACACGCCUCGUGUGC
rnacentral:sRNA from 1 species